rnacentral:misc_RNA from 1 species
GCGCAAACUACUUAGACGGAGUUUAAACAUGUAGCAUGCACACACAUGCAAAAACAUACACGUAUACUUUUGUAUUAUUGUAAUAUAAUUAUAAAGUUUAGAGAGAGAGAGAAGCCAUGAGAAAGUAUUUAUAGAGACAAACUAUAUAGUAAUAAUAAUAGAUGGAUAGAUUAAUUAGUAUUAAUAGAAAGAAAUAGGGGGAGAUUGUAGAGAGAGAGGGAGAGCGAGUCAUAGUAAUGGUUAGAUAAUUAGUGUCAA